rnacentral:rRNA from 1 species
AACGAACGCUGGCGGCAUGCCUAACACAUGCAAGUCGAACGAUGCUUUCGGGCAUAGUGGCGCACGGGUGCGUAACGCGUGGGAAUCUGCCCUUGGGUUCGGCAUAACAGUGAGAAAUUGCUGCUAAUACCGGAUGAUGUCUUCGGACCAAAGAUUUAUCGCCCAGGGAUGAGCCCGCGUAGGAUUAGCUAGUUGGUGGGGUAAUGGCCUACCAAGGCGACGAUCCUUAGCUGGUCUGAGAGGAUGAUCAGCCACACUGGGACUGAGACACGGCCCAGACUCCUACGGGAGGCAGCAGUGGGGAAUAUUGGACAAUGGGCGCAAGCCUGAUCCAGCAAUGCCGCGUGAGUGAUGAAGGCCUUAGGGUUGUAAAGCUCUUUUACCCGGGAUGAUAAUGACAGUACCGGGAGAAUAAGCUCCGGCUAACUCCGUG